ensembl:piRNA 21ur-7222 ncRNA
UGUUGAAAAAAUGUACUGUCA